rnacentral:misc_RNA from 1 species
UUCAUGUCGGUCGUCUGAUCAGCCACAUCGAUACACUUGGCGGGACUAGCCUGUCAUGUGCGCGCAUUUGCGACACUGUUGCCUUUACUCUGUACACGGCGUCUGUGCAGUGGAGCCUCUGUGCGCACCCGCCCCUCACACACAAAAAGUGACGGAGCGUGUCGUGGCUUCAUUUUUGGUCUGGUGUGUGUCUAACUUCUCUCGCCCUGACGUUGUUUUCCUUUUGUCGACGGGUACACCAUCAUUCUUCUCCCUGUUUAUCUUCUCAAAAUCUUCUCGUGCCUGCUUCGUUCUUUUCCUCAGUCUCGCGGCCGCCUUUCUCUAGCGGCGGUUCAGUCGGCGUUAUGUGUGUGUGUGACUCGGUUCUCUUAUGCGUCUGCUUCUCUCCGUCCUCUUUUUUUUUCCUCUCUCUCUCCCUCUCUGUCGGUAUCUAGUGUGCUCUCCUGUGCUUCCCUCUCCCCAAACAAGGGUUGCUUACAUCCCUGUUGCACUCCGUAACGCAGCUGCUUGAACGGCUGCUCGCUCUUCAAAGGGAGCGCAAGUAAGAGAGAAAGAAGGCAAGAUCUGCGGUUUCAUGAAUGCCCAAGUUAUAUGCCCCUCCACCCAGCCACAUUUAUGUUGAGCGCAGCAAGUUGCGAUGCCCGUCUUCCCACGCUUGUUUACGCCAGAGCGCGCCGCUACUAACGCAACCGCUGGCGGGUGCAUGGCUCAUCACAGGCGAACUCUUCCAGAACCACCCACCUUACGCUCCUCGUCGAAUAGCACGCGUGAGCUUUUGCAGCCGCGGCAAGCGCCAUCGCAGGUGCACACACCAGCACAUCCGCCCGCCCCCACGCCUGUAGCAGAGCCGUCAUCGUUGCGGCACAUUGGCAGCAUGCAGCCAAGAGAGUCGAACCGCUCCGCCUCAACAGCGAUGUCCUUGGAGUUCUCGGGCAGCCGGGCUAGCGGCGAAAAUGGCCCCCAGCGCCAGCAGCGCUGCUUGGUGUCUGGCCGAUUGCCUGCAGCUGUGCAGCUCGGUGAGCCCGAGGCCCAUGUGCUGGCGCGCUCUCCGCAGCGUCGGCCCAGUUUGCCGAGCGCUGAAGUAGUCGUCGCGGCUUCUGGUGACGCUGUGAAUGAAGAGGACAGUGUCGCUCUUGGGCCAGAACGCAGCCUGCACUCGAGUGAGCUUCAAGAGGCAAGAGAGAACCGUCGAUUCAUGAACUUACAUCGCCGUGCUCGGCGCCAGCGCGGUCGUCAAGGGAGCUCCAGUACCAACUGUCUUCCCACAACGCCGCGGCACACCGAGUCAGGCACACCCUCCAACGCUCAAGAGGGACCCCAGCAUCACCGUCGCGAGCAUCUUCACCACACCCCCUUCACUUUGCUGCCGCGCUAUUCUGGCCUGACACCGCAAAGUUUCACCACAACAAAUGGUGCUGAAGUGCGGUGCGGAGGUCACAGAGGUCGCAUCCUGGACAGCUCGUCUCUCGUAUUGCCGCAAGCCCACCGAGAGCGGGCAGGAAGUGUGCCGUCCAGGUCGGUGCGCUCCGGCCAAAGCCCCAGGAUAGUGCAUGCUGGUGCUCCUUCAAGCACCACAAUACCCAAUACAGCACAAUCGGUGGUGGGGGGUGCUCGUGCGGUGGCGCUCAGUGAAGCAGCGGGCUCCAUCGCCCAAUCAGGCGACGUCGAAGGCCCCCGAGCAGACAUCAUCAUUUUGGUCUCUUCUCAGGGAAUCCAGCUCACCACGUCCAAAGACGCCCUCCGCCGUGAAGCUCGCCGCUCGGCAUCGCUCAUGUCCGUGCGUAAUGCGCGUUGCGCAAUCCUGCACUCCGAUCAAGUUCUGGAAGCGGGGGAGGCGGCGGCUUCAAGCACAUCACGAGUUGCCACUACAGCAUCGCACACAUCAACUCAUGACAGCGUCUCUACACGGCGAGAGAGGCGUGCAGAUGCGCUCCAUUGCGAGGAAGAGGGCCCGUUGGAAGUCACUCAGAGUUCAUGCUGUGCAGCCGCAGCUCCGUGGCGGCUGCCCGUGCUGACGACGAUGAGCGAAGGAAAUGCAACGCAGCCCACACGUCGCCACUACCCCCCGUCUCUCUCGUCUACCAG